AUUGUUCUUGGAUGCAGAGUACAUUCAAUUCACUUUCUAUCAGAGAUUUAUUACAGAAUUUUCUCAUACUGACCAAAAAUGAAUGAUAUGUAGCAAUUGUCUAACUUACAAUUUGGUUAGAGAGAGAUAUACAUAGAUUCUGUGAAGACAUAUAUAUUAUCUUGUUCAUCAUUGUACCCCCUCAGUUGUUAGUAUAGUACUUUGCAUGUUUGUUGAAUCAAAUUCAGGGUCACACAGUAUGGUAAUGUCAAAGAACCAAGCAAGUGACCUAAGUGCAUAUGCAGGAAUUACUUUUUGAUGCAGCCUAGCUGGUAAUUGUGACCUAGAUGCAAGAAAGAAGACAAGGCAGCAUAGUGAUGGAAUUAUUUCCAUGUCCUUCAGCCCACACCAUCUUGAAUUCUGUUUCUUGUUUAGCUGCAAACACAGACACAAUCAGUGUGUUAAAAGUGAAGGUCAAAUAGAUUAUAAAUUUCUCCAUAUACUAUAUGGAGAAAAGGGAAUUGAAGUGAUCUUACUAGUCUUCUCUCCAUUUCCCCUCAUAACUUCCACCAAGAGUAUCAUAGUGUGUCCACCACUAGGGACUCUGAUGGGAAAUGGCACUAAGGGAAGAAGCUAAGGAGAAUGUACUGGACGAAUGUACCCUCUCUGAGGCAGAAUUAAGGUGAAACAGUCACAACUUCUGGUUAAGAUGAAGGCCUAGGUUGAUAUACUUUGCCUCCUCGCACAACCAAAAGAAGGACAACAACAAAUU